GCCUUCGUGGUGUAGUGGUCAGCACGCUGGGCGCGUAUUCCCGAGGUCCGUGGUUCGAGUCCCGGCGAAGGCG
rnacentral:tRNA from 1 species